AUGUAAUGUAAUGCCUACAACAUUAAUUCACUAGAUCCCAUUAUAAAUCCGUAGUUAAGUAUGUCAGGGCUAGAGUAGUAUUAGGAUGGGUGACCUCCUGAGAAGUCCUAGUGUUUUACAUG
rnacentral:rRNA from 1 species